rnacentral:tRNA from 1 species
GGGAUGGUAGCUCAGUCGGUAGAGCAGCGCCCUGAAAAGGCGCGUGUCGGCGGUUCGAUUCCGUCCCAUCCCACCA